rnacentral:tRNA from 1 species
GGAAGGGCUGUGGCUCAGUGGUAAAGCAUCUGCUUUGUAUUCUGAAGGUUGUAGGUUCAAUUCCCAACCUUUCCA